ACGGUGAGGGACGAAAGCUGAGGGAGCAAUCCGGAUUAGAUACCCGAGUAGUCUCAGCUGUAAACGCUGUGAGCUAGGUGUCACAUAUUCUUCGGGAAUAUGUGGUGUCGAAAUGAAGAUGAUAAGCUCACCGCCCUGGGAAGUAUGNNGNUUCGCCAAGGCUNCGAAAACUUAAAGCGAAUUNNGGCNGGGGGAGCACCACAAGAGGUGCGGCGUGCGGUUUAAUCUAAUUCAACACAGAGCAUCUCACCAGCAGCGACGGCAGGAUGAAGGUCAGCCUGAAGGGUUUACCUGACGAGCCGAGAGGUAGUGCAUGGCCGUCGUCAGCUCGUACCGUAAGGUGUCUUGUUAAGUCAAGCAACGAGCGAGACCUGUACCUACAAUUGCUAACAACUCUUUUAAGAGAUUUGAGCACAUUGUAGGAACUGCUCUGGAAACAGAGAGGAAGGUGCAGGCAACGAUAGGUCUGUAUGCUCCGAAUCUGCUGGGCUACACGCGCGCAACAAUGGUAAGGACAAUGUGAUGCAACUCUGAAAAGAGAAGCUAAUCCUCGAAACCUUAUCUUAGUCUAGAUUGAGGAUUGUAACUCAUCCUCAUGACAUUGGAUCUCUAGUAAUCAGAUGUCAC
rnacentral:rRNA from 1 species